rnacentral:rRNA from 1 species
ACUCCUACGGGAGGCAGCAGUGGGGAAUAUUGGACAAUGGGGGGAACCCUGAUCCAGCCAUGCCGCGUGUGUGAAGAAGGCCUUAUGGUUGUAAAGCACUUUAAGUGAGGAGGAGGCUACUGAGACUAAUACUCUUGGAUAGUGGACGUUACUCGCAGAAUAAGCACCGGCUAACUCUGUGCCAGCAGCCGCGGUAAUACAGAGGGUGCGAGCGUUAAUCGGAUUUACUGGGCGUAAAGCGUGCGUAGGCGGCUUUUUAAGUCGGAUGUGAAAUCCCCGAGCUUAACUUGGGAAUUGCAUUCGAUACUGGGAAGCUAGAGUAUGGGAGAGGAUGGUAGAAUUCCAGGUGUAGCGGUGAAAUGCGUAGAGAUCUGGAGGAAUACCGAUGGCGAAGGCAGCCAUCUGGCCUAAUACUGACGCUGAGGUACGAAAGCAUGGGGAGCAAACAGGAUUAGAUACCCUGGUAGUCCAUGCCGUAAACGAUGUCUACUAGCCGUUGGGGCCUUUGAGGCUUUAGUGGCGCAGCUAACGCGAUAAGUAGACCGCCUGGGGAGUACGGUCGCAAGACUAAAACUCAAAGGAAUUGACGG